CCUUCACCGCCCGGGAGGAGCCGCCCCGCCUGUUGCGCCUCGGCGCGCUCGCACGGCGGCUCCGCGGGGCUGCCGGAGCGCCGCAGCUCCUUCUCCGGUCCCGGCCACGGUCCCGGCCACGGUCACGGUCCCGGUCACGGUCACUGUCACGGCCACGGGCACGGCGUGCUCUGCUGCACGGCACGCCCGGCUCUGCCCUCCCCGCUGCGCGCACACGCAGGCGCGCACAUACACACACAGACCCCGCCGGUUACACGGUGCAGGGAGGGACAGACGGACACGCGGGGACAGACAGAGGCACUCAGGGACACGCACGCCGGCACCCACACGCCUAGGCAGACCCCCGACGAGGACUGGACACCGCUAGCUCCGACCAGUGCCCCGAUGCUGGAGCCAGGAGCCCUCGGUGCUGUGCCUGCUCCCGCUGCGGGCUCUCCAGCUGACCUUGAGCGAGGCGCUCCGUGCCUGUGGCUCGUAGACCUCCGUUUAUAAAUGCCACUGCCAGGAUGCAAGCACGGCAGUGGCAUCUGGCCGCUCACAGAUGGAGGCAACCUGUCACACACUGAACUGCAGCUGGGGAAAAACACAGGUAAAUACACUUUCUGAUUUGGAGUGCGUAGGAUUUGUCCCUUCUCCAGGUAUCAAACAGUUGAGCUUGCUCUUUGUUUGUUUACCACCACACAUUACCCAAUCUCCCUGGGAGACAACACUACAUUUUGUAGGCAAUUAGACUUCCAGUCCUUUUGCCUUCAGAAACCUGUUGCUCAAUCCAUGUCAUGCGUGGGAUCUGAAAGCAUAAAGAAACUUAUGACAGUCCUCUUUGUCCUUCUGAAAAUAGGGCUAACAGGUAAGGCUGCAUCCAUCAUUCCCAGAACAAAAGUCUGUCUUUCCCUUGAAAGCCUUUUGUCAGUGCUAAAUAUUAUUAAUGAGGCUUUUCUCAUCAUAGUAUCUGAUGCCUUUGCUGGCUGCAAGCCAUAUGCUUAGCCUACACUAUCUUAGCAGCACAGAACUAGAAGCAAAAUAUUUCCCUUUUUACCCCUCCUCCCAAAUCCUCUAUAACUAGCUGGUAAUAUUCAGUUACUUCAGGCUUGGACAUUUUGACCAGCUGAAGGUGUCUUGUUUGGCUCUGUCCUCAAGAAUGAGGUGAAUAUAAUCUAAACAUUGCUUAAUCCUUUUUCCUUUCCCUCUGAAUAGCAUUGAAGAUGGCUGUUGCAAAAGGAAGCAUAUUUUUUCAUUUAUAUGAAAAUGGCUGACACACAAGGAAGCAUAUUUUUCUUUCAUAUUGUACACAAUUAGGGUAUAGCAAGCAGAUGAAAAAUACUUUGAUGGAGAAUAUACUUUCUAAAAAAAAUGAAUCAAUAUUUACCUUUAUAAUAGUAGAAUUCUUCUUGCUGGGAUUCGUUUUCAAUUAUUACAAUGAAUAAUUCAUUCAUAGGAUUAUUUGAAUAAUUAUUAUGAUUUAUUCAUUCACGUGGUUAGCUAUUGAGAUAUUUUUUUAAACAGCUUUUGGGAGGGAUGGAAAAAAAUCCUGAGGUUUAUAAGAGGAUACAAGGCAUGCCUAGAUUGCAAUCACUGCUGUGAUUCAGCUCACCACAUACUAGGUUUAAACCAGAGAGCUUCAAGCAGCACAGGAGAGACAGUGUGGAGCUCUGCAACGGUUUGCAGGACAAUUUGCCAUCCCAGGCAGGCAUCUCAUGCUGCCACAGCUCUGGUCUUCACACUACCUUGAGCUAGCGGUGUUGCAGAUAGCUCAGGUGCCUCCACAUGAGCUGCAGUCCCAUCCAGCCAUGUCUACUCAGCUGCUACCACAGUCCAUCUUAGAGCAGGCACCCAGCCUGUCUGCACUCACUCCUGGAAGCCCUUAGGAAGUCCCUCUAUUCCCUUCCUUCUGAGUACUUAGGCUGCCCCUCAGACUCAGUAUCAGCCCCAUAAGCUUUUGCAACAUGCAACUAAACUCUUUUUAGCACACAGCCUGUUCCCGAACUGAUCAGCACCACACUGCCUGUGCAGCCACACCCCUCACUUCUAUAUUAAGAUCCUAUGCCGGCUGCCACUGUUCAGCCUCCGUGAGGGAUCUUGCUGGGCCAGCAUCUUGCAGUGGUAUACAAUUUGCUGAAGAAGUACAGCAAGAGAGAUCCAGCGAUGUCAAGGAGGAGGACAUGAUGCAAACCCCACAACAGUACUCCAAAAUGCAACACAGCAAUACCGUAACACACUCCAAAGGGUGAUUUGGCUGCUAGGUCUGGGGCCAAAACCUCAAGAUCAGUGCCAGCUAAAGGUGCCACUAAACAUGUCUCUGAGGUGGUGGCCAUGUUCACCCCUCUUAGCUCAGCUAUGAUAGGUUGCUACAGUUCAAGAGUUAAGGAUGAUUGCAACCCCCCAGGAUGUAUCAAUCAGUGAUCCCAAAGUGCACAAAAAAAUCUCCAUAAAUCCAUGAGAAAAGAAAAAAUUGCUGCUGGUUCUAGCAUAGCAAGACACCUGAUUCUGAGCCCUCAUCACAGUCGAGAAGCUGGAAGGGCAUUGCUGCCUGGAGACUGGCUCUGUAGCACAGCAGUAGAGCUUCAACAAGUAAAUUGGUUGCUUGGAUGUCUUACACACCCCUGAACAUGGUUCAGCAUUUUGGGUAACCCUCUGAAAUCCCUUUGGAUCCCUUUCAGUGGAUUUGAAGUCCUCAGCACUGUAGCUGCCACAGAAUUAUGGGUACGUACCAUUUUCUCAGCAAAGACAAAUUCAGAGUUCCUCAAGGUAAGUUCUCCAAAACCGAGAUAUCCUAAAUGGGUAUCUAGAUUUGUGUCUCGCAUAUGCAGAACUUCUCCAUUUCUUUUCUUUCUGUGUUUCCCAGUCAUUCCUUCUUCUCCUGAAGCUUCUGGUUUUCUCUUCCAUGGCUUCUGUGCUACCCCUAUCUUCUGCUUCCCUGACUCCCUGACUUCCCUGAAUGUCAUCUUUUCCCACAUUCAUGUACUUUUCCUGGUUAUGAAGUAUCUCUUCCCUCUGACCCUACCAGUUUCUUCACUUUUUUAUAUAUUUUCACUUAUUUUAUAAUUUUCAUAUCCAUUUUGCAAAAAUCCUGCUGGAACUGAACCCUGCCCAGUAAGCACUACAGAUGGUGGCUGACUGCCUGACUCACUAGAAGAACUGAGUGACCAGAAGAAUAACAACCUACUUCUAGAAACACUAUAACACAGACCUUAAAAUGGUGUUCGUAACAGCAAAUUGCAUGGCCAGCAAUAUUGUUUAGCCUGUUCCCUAGCAUGGUAUUAGCCUGGAACUACUAAAACCGUCCAUAAAAGUCCUGAGAGCAGUUAAGAAAGUUAAUGUGGGCCAGAGACUACCCCAGCAAGGAGUUCAACUGUUCACCUUUAUAUUUGAGGUGGAUUGUUUAUCAAGUGUUUGGCUCUGUGGACAUGAACAAGGAUGAGGGAAGAACUGCAUCAGUCCAAAAUGAUACUCUUUUCAUCUGAUAGAACACUAGGUACACUUAAAAAAGAUGAGCAACUUCACUGACUACAAGAAAUGAAACAUUGGCUUUUGUAUCCACAUUACACUGUGAACUGGAAGAAAUUAUGAGGAAUUCUCAGUUCAUACAUCUGCAGAUCUCAAAGUAUCUGAAGGCAACAAGGUAAACAGAGUCCAGGCGUUUAACAAUACCCUCAUCAUGUAUCAGUCAUGUUGCUGUUUCUACAACUGCCACAAUGGACAGUGAUCAGACUUCAAUUUUUCCCACAAUGGAAGCAACCUCAACUACUCUGUGACAGUGCAUCUAUCCCAGAUCCCUGAGGUGCUGUCACCUUUAAUUCAUCCUUUUAAGUUCCCUCCUUCCCCCAGCAGUUACACAUAUGAAGAAAAAAUAAUGAAUGAAUAAAUAAAUAAAUAAAACAGAAAA